ACAGCAAGCAGCCACGGGAAUACGGAAGGGGCUAGCGUUGUUCGGAAUUACUGGGCGUAAAGCGCUCGUAGGCUGCUUUGUAAGUCAGAGGUGAAAGCCCGGGGCUCAACCCCGGAUGUGCCUUUGAGACUGCAGAGCUGGAAUCGCGGAGAGGUGAGUGGAGUUCCGAGUGUAGAGGUGAAAUUCGUAGAUAUUCGGAAGAACACCAGUGGCGAAGGCGGCUCACUGGACGCGUAUUGACGCUGAGGCUCGAAGGCUAGGGUAGCGAAAGGGAUUAGAGACCCCCGUAGUCCCUGUCUCUUAUA
rnacentral:rRNA from 1 species